GACGAACGCUGGCGGCGUGCUUAACACAUGCAAGUCGAACGGAAAGGCCUUUCGGGGUACUCGAGUGGCGAACGGGUGAGUAACACGUGGGUGAUCUGCCCUGCACUUUGGGAUAAGCCUGGGAAACUGGGUCUAAUACCGGAUAUACCUCAUGGGCUGCAUGGUUUGUGGGGGAAAGCUUUUGCGGUGUGGGAUGGGCCCGCGGCCUAUCAGCUUGUUGGUGAGGUUAUGGCUUACCAAGGCGACGACGGGUAGCCGGCCUGAGAGGGUGACCGGCCACACUGGGACUGAGGUACGGCCCAGACUCCUACGGGAGGCAGCAGUGGGGAAUAUUGCACGAUGGGCGCAAGCCUGAUGCAGCGACGCCGCGUGAGGGAUGACGGCCUUCGGGUUGUAAACCUCUUUCAGCUCCGACGAAGCGUAAGUGACGGUAGGAGUAGAAGAAGGACCGGCCAACUACGUGCCAGCCGCCGCGGUAAUAC
rnacentral:rRNA from 1 species